GAUCUGGCUCAGGAUGAACGCUAGCUACAGGCUUAACACAUGCAAGUCGAGGGGCAGCAUGUUGGUUGCUUGCAACCAAUGAUGGCGACCGGCGCACGGGUGAGUAACGCGUAUCCAACCUACCCUUGGUCCAUCGGAUAAACCCGUCGAAAGGCGGCCUAACACGAUAUGCGGUUCACAGCAGGCAUCUAACGUGAACGAAAUGUAAAGGAGAAGGAUGGGGAUGCGUCUGAUUAG
rnacentral:rRNA from 1 species